rnacentral:rRNA from 1 species
CGGACGGGUGAGUAAUGUCUGGGAAACUGCCUGAUGGAGGGGGAUAACUACUGGAAACGGUAGCUAAUACCGCAUAACGUCGCAAGACCAAAGAGGGGGACCUUAGGGCCUCUUGCCAUCGGAUGUGCCCAGAUGGGAUUAGCUAGUAGGUGGGGUAACGGCUCACCUAGGCGACGAUCCCUAGCUGGUCUGAGAGGAUGACCAGCCACACUGGAACUGAGACACAGUCCAG